AGCCUUUCUGGUUCAUAAAGCGUGAUGAUUGGGUGUUCACGCGCUUGCGUGAUAUGUGGCGCCCAUUAAACCUUGUUACAAUGUGGGCACAUUACCCGUCUGACA